ACAUCUUCAGCUGAAUGGUUCAGCGUUUGCCUUCGAAGCAACUGUUUAUUGGUUCGAGUCCAAUAAGAUGUU
rnacentral:tRNA from 1 species